CUGGUUUCUGCGGGUUAGGUGUUUGGUAUUUACAGCCCCCAACGUCGUCUUCCAGGCAUCGCUACCUGAAAGGCACUAGGAUUAGGAAAUGGUUAUGGUU